rnacentral:rRNA from 1 species
GUAAAUAAAGUAUGUCAGUUCUUACAUGCUCCUACUAGUGCACAUUGGACUGCAGUAAAGAGGAUACUUAGAUAUCUUCAAGGGACUCAGAGUCAUGGACUGGAAAUUGGAAAGUCAGACUCGAUGCUUGUAAGUGCUUUUUCAGAUGCAGAUUGGGCAGGUUGUCCUGAUGAUAGAAGAUCAACAGGAGGCUUUGCAGUGUUUCUUGGCAGUAAUUUGGUUUCUUGGAGUGCUCGCAAGCAGCCAACUGUAUCUAGGUCAAGUACAGAAGCUGAGUACAAGGCCUUAGCUAAUGCCACUGCAGAGAUUAUCUGGGUUCAGAAUUUGCUAACAGAGUUGGGUGUUUCUCAUCCAAGAGCAGCAUCACUUUGGUGUGACAAUCUUGGUGCAACCUAUUUGUCUGCUAAUCCUAUCUUCCAUGCCAGG